rnacentral:rRNA from 11 species
UUUGAGAAACAUUGUUCUAAAGGCACUAGAUCCCAUCUGAUCUUGGAAGCUAAGCGAAUCAGCCCUGAUUAGUACUUGGAUGCAAGAUUAUUGAAUGCCAGAUGAUGUAGGCUUUAUUUCAGAG